rnacentral:lncRNA from 1 species
CGACAAAUUUUUGGACUACAAGAUGGUAGAUUCCAAAAUCUUGAUUAGCCAGGUGUAAGAGAUUUAAGUCUUGUUGCAUGACAUCCAUGCCAAUAAAAUAGAAUUGAGUGAAUCAUUCCAAGUGGUUGUCAUUAUUGAGAAACUCCCUCUUGUGUGGAGAGAUUUCAAAAAUUACCUUAAGCACAAAUACAAGGAAAUGAAUUUGGAAGAAUUGAUUGUGCGCUUGAGGAUUGAAAAGGACAAUUGAAAAAUCGAACAAAGGCCGGUUGAUCAAGAUGGUGCAAAUUUUGUUGAAAUGGAACCAAAGACAAGAAACAAGAAACGAAAGGCUCGUAAUUAUGCACCGCGAAGAGACAAUUCCAAGAAGGCUAAGAAGUUCAAAGGAAAUUGUUACAACUGUGGCAAGACUGGACAUCAUUCAAGUGAAUGUCAAAAGUCAAAGAAGAAUGCUCAAACCCACAUGGUUGCAAAUAACACUCUAUCCGAUGGACUGCAAGAAAUGAGUUUAUCUGUAGUAGUGUCCGAAUGCAACAUGAUUGGAAAUACUAGAGAAUGGUGAAUUGACACCGGCGCUACUCGUCAUGUGUGUGCGGACAAGACGAUAUUCUCCAACUAUCAAGAUUUGAAUGGGGAACAACUAUAGAUGGAAAAUUCUGCAAGUUCCAAAGUUGAAGGACAAUGCAAAGUCACUUUGAAGAUGACAUCCGGGAAAGAACUCGUUAUCAACAAUGUCCUACAUAUGCUGGAUAUACGAAAGAAUUUAGUGUCCGGGUCUCUACUUAGCAAGAAUGAUUUUAAACUUAUAUUUGUAUCUGAUAAAUUUGUGUUGUCUAAGAAUGAGAUGUAUGUAGGGAAAUGAUACAUGUGUGAUGGAAUGUUCAAGUUGAACGUUCGUACAAUUGUAUCGAAGUAAG